rnacentral:rRNA from 1 species
GAUGAACGCUGACAGAAUGCUUAACACAUGCAAGUCUUUGGCGAAUCUGUGCUUGCACAGGCUAGCCAAGGCGGACGGGUGAGUAACGCGUAAAGAACUUGCCCUGCAGACAGGGAUAACAGACGGAAACGACUGACAACACCUGAUACAGUUGCCGGCACGCAUGUGCCUGGCAAUGAAAAGAGAUGCUGCGGGAGAGCUUUGCGUCCUAUUAGCUUGUUGGCGGGGUAACGGCCCACCAAGGCGAUGAUAGGUAGCCGGCCUGAGAGGGUGAACGGCCACAAGGGGACUGAGAUACGGCCCUUACUCCUACGGGAGGCAGCAGUGGGGAAUAUUGGACAAUGGGGGCAACCCUGAUCCAGCAAUUCUGUGUGCACGAGGAAGGUUUUCGGAUUGUAAAGUGCUUUCAGCAGGGAAGAAGGAAGUGACGG